AACGCACCUUGCGCUCCUUGGUAUUCCUUGGAGCAUGCCUGUUUGAGUAUCAUGAAAUUAUCAAAGCAAACCUUUUGUUGAUUCAACCGGUUUUUGUUUUGGACUUGGAGGUCUUGCGGAUUCACUUCUGCUCCUCUUAAAAAUAUUAGCUGGAUCUCAGUGAGCUCGGUUCCACUCGGCGUGAUAAGUAUCACUCGCUGAGGACACCCGUAAAAAAGGUGGCCGGGAUUGCAGAUGAACCGCUUCUAAUAGUCUAUUAAAUUGGACAAACAUACUUUAUGAUCUGAUCUCAAAUCAGGUAGGACUACCCGCUGAACUUAA
rnacentral:misc_RNA from 1 species